AGUGGGUGGGCCUCAUCCAAUCCUUGAAGGCCUGAAUAGGACAAGAAAGAACAAGAGGCGAGAUAACAAAGAAUUGUCACUCUGUGCCAGGCUGUCUUCCAUCUGGGACAUCUGCCUUCUCUUGCCUUCCGACUCAACUUGGACUGGAAUCUACACCAUUGGUUGUCCUGUUUCUGAAGCCUUCGGGGUUGGACUGGAACUAUGCCAUCUGCUGCCUUGCUGGGUGUUCAGUCUGCCCGUUGCAAAUCCUGAGAUUUCUCAGCCUCCAUAGUCAUGGUUUAACCUCAAUCUCAUCUUCACAAACCUUGAACCACCAGGCUCAGGGAGACUCCUCUGUUCUCUGAAGCUUUUCUAUCCACAGGGCCACAAUGUUGCACCAUUUUACCACUGAUUUGAUCGGUUUUCUUUUGUUACCCUUUUGCCAUUUUGUUUUGUUUUGUUUUUUAAAGAAGAUACUAGAAAAUUAUUUCUCUGAAUACUUGGCAAACAAUAUUUUUCCUUUGAUUGAUUAGAAAUCAUGACAAAUCUAUUCUAAAAAGCAUAUAGUUUAACUGGACAUUUUUAAGUGGCCUGCAUCUGCUGAAUUUGUUUUGUAGUUACAGUGACCAUAUUACAGAAUAAAAUUGGCACAUAUAGCUAAAAAAUAACAGUAUAGUUGGAAGGAUAAUGGGACGUAUUCAGAGCAGCAUAGUUUCUAUAGUUAAUACCUGCACCUACAACUUACAUAGCACAAAACUUUAUUUCCAGAAUGUGAAUAUAAAAAUUGUACAGUGAUAAUGAUCUCUCUAUAUACCAUUAAACUUCAAAUUUCAUGUCUAAUAUGUUACUUAAUAUUUCUUUUUUCUGCUUAUUGAUUUAUUACACCUAAAUAUUUUAAUUUAAUUUAUUUAUCCUAUGUCUCUUUCUAAAACAUAUUUGAGCUCACUUAUUACAAAAUGCUAGUUUUUUUAAAACGGGA
rnacentral:lncRNA from 10 species